rnacentral:lncRNA from 10 species
ACUAAUGGAGUAAGACUCUGUCAAAACAAAAUUAAAACACAAAUAAGACCCAGAGAAGAAUUAUGCAGACAGUAAAAGUGGUUGUGUGGUACAUACAUUUGUCAGGAGUCACCAAAUUAUACAUUUAGGAUCUGUGGAUUUUACUGUAUGUAAUUGUGUCACAAUUUUUUUAAUUACUGUGGUAUAGAAUGUGGUCAAAAGCCUGUAUUUUGAACUCAAAU